rnacentral:rRNA from 1 species
UACGGGGGGGGCAAGCGUUGUUCGGAAUUACUGGGCGUAAAAGGCUCGUAGGCGGCCAACUAAGUCAGACGUGAAAUCCCUCGGCUUAACCGGGGAACGGCAUCUGAUACUGGAUGGCUGGAGUUCGGGAGAGGGAUGCGGAAUUCCAGGUGUAGCGGUGAAAUGCGUAGAUAUCUGGAGGAACACCGGUGGCGAAGGCGGCAUCCUGGACCGACACUGACGCUGAGGAGCGAAAGCCAGGGGAGCAAAGCGGGG